rnacentral:hammerhead_ribozyme from 1 species
AUCCAGCUUACGAAUCCCAUAUAGGACGAAACGCGCAUCAGACUGGAU